AGAGUUUCAUCAUGGCUCAGGAUAAACGCUGGCGGCGUGCCUUACGCAUGCAAGUCGAACGAAGCCCGGCCUUCGGGUCGGUGACUGAGUGGCAAACGGCUGAGUAACGCGUAGGUGAUCUGUCCCGAGGAGGGGAACAACUCGUGGAAACGCGAGCUAAUGCCCCAUACGCCCACCGGUUCAGCCCGGUGGGGAAAUGUUCCGGCGCCUUGGGAGGAGCCUGCGUCCGAUUAGCUAGUUGGUGGGGUAACGGCCUACCAAGGCAGCGAUCGGUAGCUGGUCUGAGAGGAUGAUCAGCCAGACUGGGACUGAGACACGGCCCAGACUCCUACGGGAGGCAGCAGCGAGGAAUCUUGCACAAUGGGCGAAAGCCUGAUGCAGCAACGCCGCGUGGGUGAUGAAGGCCUUAGGGUUGUAAAUCCCUUUGCCGGGGAAGAAU
rnacentral:rRNA from 1 species